GGAAGGUUGCUCGAUGGUGACGGUGAUUCGGUGUCAAAGUGCAGAGCUCAAAGGUCGUAAAGACAUAAUUUCCUCUGUACCGUGAAAGGGAUGGGGAAAAUUUGAGAAAACAUAAAUAAUAAGGAAUACGAGGAACAUAUUUUUUUAUUAUUUCCUUGGGUUUUGCUGUCUAGAUGUUCUGCACGUCACUAAACACAACCUGUUGUUUAUAAUCAGAAACCUGAUGCUCGUCUAGUUCUUAAUUUUUUUAACAGUCGUGCGCGCUUGUAUUCAUCAUCCAUCAGUAUUAACAUCGCACUCGUUUCCGUAUUCGUUAGUUUAAAAGCUGCCAAAUCACAAAAGUCUGUCGCUUAUUCGUAUCUUAAAAGUCAUGAUAUUUCAGACAACUAGGUUGACCACACACACACAAUAGACUGAUUAAAAACACACGCGCGCACACACGCAAACAUGUACUCAUUGUCAUCGCAUAGUCGGAAAGUGUGACUAUCUUUCCACACCAUGAACAGCCAGAAACCCAAGAUUUUGAUUCUGUCUCAUCUGUACGCCGGAAUGAGCGUUGAUGGCGAACUGUAACUGUGCCCUCUGUCGGGCUUCCCUCUUGCCCAUCUCAGCUUGUACCUCCCUCCUUCCUUUUGGCUCGAGGCCCACGGCCCGAUAUCUCGCGGCCCCAGGGCCCGAUAUCACGCGGCAAGAGACCUCGGAGGCAACAGCUGUGACGAAUGUUGUCUUUUCGUAUCAGUGCAUCUGUCUGCAACGCUGUUUCUCGCCGCACAAAGGGACGCAAUCCAGCCUAACGUUCCUGGAGCCCACACCCCUCACCUUCUUAUCCCACAUUGUCAAUAGAGAAAACGAGGACAGGACAAAACUCCAGUCAUUGACUAUGAGUCGACAUUUGGGAUCCAAAACUCUUUUUCCUUAUUAGAGUGUCAGCAGGCCAUAUUUCUUGAAAUCCCUCAGGUGUCUUCAGCUCACAUCAGUCGAAUUUCCCCAUGAAUCUUCGCUGCACACGCGCUUUUCCAAGAGGCAAGGUGCUGACCAGAAUCAUCCUGAAGAGACUGAAGACAACACCAUCACCAACAAAAUUCAGACAUUCAUCAAUAGAUGUCUGUGCAAUAUCCUCAACAUCAGAUGGUCCGAGAUCUCCAAUACAGACCUGUCGGAGAGAAUCAGCCAAACACUUGCCAGCCAAGGCAUCAAAAAGCGGAAGUGGGGCUGGAUCGGUGACACCUUGCGAGAGCCGGCCGACAACAAAUCAACAAAACAAUCUUUGGGCUGAAACCCACAGGUUUGGGAGACCCAGACAGACAUGGAGGAGAUCGGCUCACAGCGAGGCGGAUGGCAUGACAUGGUACCAACUGGAAAGGGACGCCCAGAACUGAGUCCGAUGGCGGGAUGUAGUUGCGGCCCUAUGCUCCACUGGGGGUGAUUAGGAGCAAGAAGUGCAUGGAGUGCAUGGAGAGUCAUAAUUCCCGGAGGGCAAGGGAGCUAAAGCUGCAUCAGUCAACUUCGCUUUUGAUGUUCAAUCUUCAACGGACAAUCCCUUGUGGGAUUCGAGAAAGUGUGCGGGUGUGUGCGGGGUCAUAGAUCGAUCAACAAUCCCUCCUUUCUUCUCUCUCUCGCUCGCUCGCUCGCUCUCUCCGGCUUAUCUCAAUCAUGUAUUUUGCAUUUUACAAUAAAUUUAAUGAUUUUAUUUAUGUGUUUUGCCUAAUUCUGUAUUUGAACUGUGGAGAUGUUUUUGACAAUGUUGCACUUUCCUUUUAAUUCAUUCUCCCCCAUCAACUACAUACACAUUAAUACAAGGAGUUCAACCAUGUCCAAAUAAAUUGUCUCCCUUCAUCGCUGUCGCUCUCUCUCUCUUCCUCUUUUUCACUCUUUCUUU
rnacentral:lncRNA from 1 species